rnacentral:rRNA from 1 species
GACGUAGCAAUACGUUUGUAAAGCGGCGAACGGGUGAGGGAAUACAUGGGUAACCUACCCUCGAGUGGGGAAUAACUAGCCGAAAGGUUAGCUAAUACCGCGUACGCUCCUUGGACUUCGGUUCAGGGAGGAAAGCGAUACCGUGGGUAUCGCGCUCUUGGAUGGGCUCAUGUCCUAUCAGCUUGUUGGUGAGGUAACGGCUCACCAAGGCUUCGACGGGUAGCUGGUCUGAGAGGACGAUCAGCCACACUGGCACUGCGACACGGGCCAGACUCCUACGGGAGGCAGCAGUAAGGAAUAUUGCGCAAUGGGCGAAAGCCUGACGCAGCGACGCCGCGUGGGGGAUGAAGGUCUUCGGAUUGUAAACCCCUUUCGGGAGGGAAGAUGGAGCGAGCAAUCGUUCGGACGGUACCUCCAGAAGCAGCCACGGCUAACUUCGUGCCAGCAGCCGCGGUAAUACGAAGGUGGCAAGCGUUGUUCGGAUUUACUGGGCGUACAGGGAGCGUAGGCGGUUCGGUAAGCCCUUUGUGAAAUCUCCAGGCUUAACCUGGAAAAGUCGGAGGGGACUGCCGGGCUAGAGGACGGGAGAGGAGCGCGGAAUUCCCGGUGUAGCGGUGAAAUGCGUAGAGAUCGGGAGGAAGGCCGGUGGCGAAGGCGGCGCUCUGGAACGUUUCUGACGCUGAGGCUCGAAAGCGUGGGGAGCAAACAGGAUUAGAUACCCUGGUAGUCCACGCCUUAAACUAUGAAUACUAAGUGUCGGCGGGUUACCGCCGGUGCCGCAGCUAACGCAUUAAGUAUCCCGCCU